GGGGGUAUAGUUCAAUGGUAGAAUGAUGCUCUCCAAAAGCAUUGAUCUCCGUUCGAGUCGGAGUACCCCCGCCC
rnacentral:tRNA from 1 species